rnacentral:lncRNA from 1 species
UGGGAAAAUCAGCCUCCAGAGACCAUGGAGGAGACCAGCCCAGAACUGAUGUUGCCCAGGGAGAGAAGGCAGGAGGAGCAUGGCCAGCUUCUGGGGAAAUUUGGACGUUUCCCCUGCAGGCCGCAGGCCUUGUCUGUCACCAGGUGAGCACCCUGCCCCACCAGGCCCUACUCCACCAGACUUUAGCAUGUUUCUUAGGGUGUCACUUCAACGCCCUCAGCCUCAAGUGGCUCAUUGGGAGACGAGGGCUUGAGAGGACAGAGCUAACAGGGUUAUUGUGUGGAAUAAACGAGAUAUGCCAUGAGAAGUGCUGACACGGUGCUAACCAGUGCAAUGUGCUGCUGGAGGACUGGAGAUUUGGAGACAACUUCUCACUUUUCCUCCCUCAUAGGAAGCACAGGACUCGGCCCUCACAGACACUUUGUCUGUGAACUGUCCUAUGUUCUUUCUGUCAAGAUGUUGGAGAUGUCAUCCACUGUCAAGAUCUGAAGUCUAGUCAGAGCAGAUUUUGCAGCGGGCUGGGAGGAGUGCUCCAUGCCCACUCUGACUUCUAGGAAGGUGCUGGUGGGACUCAACAAAAUAUACCCAGGUGUCUUUGUGUGCAGGUCUAUUUCUGUAUUUAGCCUAGUUGCAGGAAUAAAGAAGAAAAAUCUCUGGCUAUCGGGCUUCCAUUCCACUCAGAAAAUCAGACAGUGACUCUAGACCUCAUGAGCAGGAAGGGUUCAGAGGGAAAUGACAUCCUCAUGUCACCCCGUAGGUGUGAAAGAAACAUCCGUGUCGUGGAUGGGAAUAGAAGAGGCCUGACACAAGUAAAAAUUGAAAUCUCCUGCUUCCGGGGCGCCUGGCUGGAACGCUGCACAGCAGAUACCUUUCCCAUCGCGGUCUCUUCCAUCCUCAGCGCUGUGGUUUGCAGAAUAGACGUGAACAUCGUGGGGUCAGCUCCAAGGUCAGGUCCAGCGGCCACAGCCUGGCCAGCUCUCCCUCCUGCUCAUUCCGCUUCUGAGAUGUUUGAAGGAAAAACCGCAGGGGCACAUGUGAGGCUGGGCUCAGUGCCCGCACCGGCUCCAUCGUCACCCGGCACAGAACGGUCACCUGAGGAGGUCGCGCCUGCCCAGGCAGCACAGGAGGCUGAAGCUCCACUUCUCCAGUGUGGGCCAGAGGAAGGACAGGAGGCUUCUCUUCCUUCCCUCGAGACUGCCUCCGGGGUUUUUCUGUUAACUUUUUUGAUUGUGUAUUUAUUUUAUGGAUAUUUUUAUUUCCUAGUUUGUUAUAAAUAUUAAAUAUUUGUUAUCAUUAC